rnacentral:rRNA from 1 species
UACGAAGGGGGCUAGCGUUGCUCGGAAUUACUGGGCGUAAAGCGCACGUAGGCGGCUUGUUAAGUCAGGGGUGAAAUCCUGGAGCUCAACUCCAGAACUGCCUUUGAUACUGGCGAGCUUGAGUUCGGGAGAGGUGAGUGGAACUGCGAGUGUAGAGGUGAAAUUCGUAGAUAUUGGGAAGAACACCGGUGGCGAAGGCGGCGACCUGGUCCGGGACUGACGCUGAGGCGCGAAAGCGUGGGGAUCAAACAGG